rnacentral:rRNA from 2 species
UGCAGUCGACGAUGAACCGCUUUCGGGCGGGGAUUAGUGGCGAACGGGUGAGUAACACGUAACAAUCUGCCCUGCACUCUGGGACAAGCCCUGGAAACGGGGUCUAAUACCGGAUAUGACUGUCCAUCGCAUGGUGGAUGGUGUAAAGCUCCGGCGGUGCAGGAUGAGCCCGCGGCCUAUCAGCUUGUUGGUGAGGUAGUGGCUCACCAAGGCGACGACGGGUAGCCGGCCUGAGAGGGCGACCGGCCACACUGGGACUGAGACACGGCCCAGACUCCUACGGGAGGCAGCAGUGGGGAAUAUUGCACAAUGGGCGAAAGCCUGAUGCAGCGACGCCGCGUGAGGGAUGACGGCCUUCGGGUUGUAAACCUCUUUCAGCAGGGAAGAAGCGAAAGUGACGGUACCUGCAGAAGAAGCGCCGGCUAACUACGUGCCAGCAGCCGCGGUAAUAC